rnacentral:tRNA from 33 species
GGGCCCGUAGCUUAGCCAGGUAGAGCGACGGGCUCUUAACCCGUAGGUCCCGGGUUCGAAUCCCGGCGGGCCCG